UGCGAAGGGUGCAAGCGUUACUCGGAAUUACUGGGCGUAAAGCGUGCGUAGGUGGUGAGUUAAGUCUGAUGUGAAAUCCCCGGGCUCAACCUGGGAAUGGCAUUGGAUACUGGCUCGCUAGAGUGCGGUAGAGGGUGGUGGAAUUCCCGGUGUAGCAGUGAAAUGCGUAGAGAUCGGGAGGAACAUCUGUGGCGAAGGCGGCCACCUGGACCAACACUGACACUGAGGCACGAAAGCGUGGGGAGCAAACAGG
rnacentral:rRNA from 1 species